rnacentral:rRNA from 1 species
AUGAACGCUGGCGGCGUGCCUAAUACCUGCAAGUCGAGCGAACGGACGAGAAGCUUGCUUUUCUGAUGUUAGCGGCGGACGGGUGAGUAACACGUGGAUAACCUACCUAUAAGACUGGGAUAACUUCGGGAAACCGGAGCUAAUACCGGAUAAUAUUUUGAACCGCAUGGUUCAAAAGUGAAAGACGGUCUUGCUGUCACUUAUAGAUGGAUCCGCGCUGCAUUAGCUAGUUGGUAAGGUAACGGCUUACCAAGGCAACGAUGCAUAGCCGACCUGAGAGGGUGAUCGGCCAAACUGGAACUGAGACACGGUCCAGACUCCUACGGGAGGCAGCAGUAGGGAAUCUUCCGCAAUGGGCGAAAGCCUGACGGAGCAACGCCGCGUGAGUGAUGAAGGUCUUCGGAUCGUAAAGCUCUGUUAUUAGGGAAGAACAUAUGUGUAAGUAACUGUGCACAUCUUGACGGUACCUAAUCAGAAAGCCACGGCUAACUACGUG